rnacentral:rRNA from 1 species
UACGCAGGGGGCUAGCGUUGCUCGGAAUCACUGGGCGUAAAGCGCACGUAGGCGGAUUGUUAAGUCAGGGGUGAAAUCCCGGAGCUCAACUCCGGAACUGCCUUUGAUACUGGCGAUCUUGAGUCCGGGAGAGGUGAGUGGAACUGCGAGUGUAGAGGUGAAAUUCGUAGAUAUUGGGAAGAACACCGGUGGCGAAGGCGGCGACCUGGUCCUUGACUGACGCUGAGGCGCGAAAGCGUGGGGAGCAAACAGG